UACGUAGGGGCCAAGCGUUGUCCGGAUUUAUUGGGCGUAAAGAGCUCGUAGGUGGUUCGGCAAGUCAGUUGUGAAAUCUCCGCGCUCAACGCGGAGGGGUCAGCUGAAACUGCUGUGACUUGAGUCUGGUAGGGGAGUGUGGAAUUCCCGGUGUAGCGGUGAAAUGCGCAGAUAUCGGGAGGAACACCAGUGGCGAAGGCGGCACUCUGGGCCAGUACUGACACUGAGGAGCGAAAGCCAGGGGAGCAAACGGG
rnacentral:rRNA from 1 species